UAGCAGUCCAUGGCACUGCUGAACUGUCCUGCCCUAGCAGGCCACGGUCUGUUAGGGUCCCGGUCAAGGUUGUGAAAAUGAGAAGCACAUCUGAAAUCCUCUCAGGCCACACUGGGUGAAAAUCACAGCCCUGGCCAGAUGCCGGCCCCUCAGACUCGGACUUCCAGCCUUCAGGACGGAAACCCUUCUCCUAAGCUGCUAAAGAGGAGCUUAUGUUGAGCUGGGAUGAUGGCCAAAACGUAAUCAAUAAGACAAACUUGGGUGCACACUGUCCAGCUUUAUUCCUGGUUUUCUGUGUACGUGGGUUAGGAAGAAACUCAAAUCAGUGCAGAGGGGCAGACCAGGGGAGUUCCAACGCCUUGGAAACAGAGUUCUCCUGUAG